rnacentral:rRNA from 1 species
CUGGGUUUGACAUGCACCAGACAUCCCUAGAGAUAGGGCUUCCCUUGUGGUUGGUGUGCAGGUGGUGCAUGGCUGUCGUCAGCUCGUGUCGUGAGAUGUUGGGUUAAGUCCCGCAACGAGCGCAACCCUCGUUCCAUGUUGCCAGCGCGUAAUGGCGGGGACUCAUGGGAGACUGCCGGGGUCAACUCGGAGGAAGGUGGGGAUGACGUCAAGUCAUCAUGCCCCUUAUGUCCAGGGCUUCACACAUGCUACAAUGGCCGGUACAGAGGGUUGCGAGACCGUGAGGUGGAGCGAAUCCCUUAAAGCCGGUCUCAGUUCGGAUCGGGGUCUGCAACUCGACCCCGUGAAGUCGGAGUCGCUAGUAAUCGCAGAUCAGCAACGCUGCGGUGAAUACGUUCCC